rnacentral:rRNA from 1 species
GACAGAGGUGGCAAGCGUUGUUCGGAUUCAUUGGGUGUAAAGGGUUCGUAGGUGGCCCAGCAAGUCUGACGUGAAAUCCCAUGGCUCAACCGUGGAACUGCGUUGGAAACUGCAGGGCUUGAGUACCGCAGAGGUGAAGGGAAUUCCCGGUGUAAGGGUGAAAUCUGUAGAUAUCGGGAGGAACACCAGUGGCGAAGGCGCUUCACUGGGCGGUUACUGACACUGAGGAACGAAAGCAAGGGGAGCAAACAGG